CAUAUCCUAUGAGAAGCAAGUCACAGGUCCUGCCUGAACUCAAGAGGAAGGGAUUAUAAGACUGUGAACACCCAGAGGAGGACCAUGGAGUUACCCGGAAGUCCGUCAACCGCAAAGGCAAUUAAGGUCUCUACCAGAUCAUAGUGAGUGCCUGAGGCCUGAAAAACAUCAAUCGCGCUGCGUCAACCACGAAGACAUUUCACAUCACUAAUAGCAUUUCUCCAUCUGAUUGAGGAAUAAACCAAACAAAAUUACGGCA